rnacentral:rRNA from 1 species
GUGGGGAAUAUUGCACAAUGGGCGCAAGCCUGAUGCAGCGACGCCGCGUGAGGGAUGGAGGCCUUCGGGUUGUAAACCUCUUUUAUCGGGGAGCAAGCGAGAGUGAGUUUACCCGUUGAAUAAGCACCGGCUAACUACGUGCCAGCAGCCGCGGUAAUACGUAGGGUGCAAGCGUUAUCCGGAAUUAUUGGGCGUAAAGGGCUCGUAGGCGGUUCGUCGCGUCCGGUGUGAAAGUCCAUCGCUGAACGGUGGAUCCGCGCCGGGUACGGGCGGGCUUGAGUGCGGUAGGGGAGACUGGAAUUCCCGGUGUAACGGUGGAAUGUGUAGAUAUCGGGAAGAACACCAAUGGCGAAGGCAGGUCUCUGGGCCGUUACUGACGCUGAGGAGCGAAAGCGUGGGGAGCGAACAGGAUUAGAUACCCCGGUAGUCC